GAUGAACGCUAGCUACAGGCUUAACACAUGCAAGUCGAGGGGAAACGCCAUCGAAAGCUUGCUUUUGAUGGGCGUCGACCGGCGCACGGGUGAGUAACGCGUAUCCAACCUGCCCAUCACUUGGGGAUAACCUUGCGAAAGUAAGACUAAUACCCAAUGAUAUCUCUAGAAGACAUCUGAAAGAGAUUAAAGAUUUAUCGGUGAUGGAUGGGGAUGCGUCUGAUUAGCUUGUUGGCGGGGUAACGGCCCACCAAGGCAACGAUCAGUAGGGGUUCUGAGAGGAAGGUCCCCCACAUUGGAACUGAGACACGGUCCAAACUCCUACGAGAGGCAGCAGCGAGGAAUAUUGGUCAAUGGGCGAGAGCCUGAACCAGCCAAGUAGCGUGCAGGAAGACGGCCCUAUGGGUUGUAAACUGCUUUUAUAAGGGAAUAAAGUGAGAGUCGUGACUCUUUUUGUAUGUACCUUAUGAAUAAGGACCGGCUAAUUCCGUG
rnacentral:rRNA from 1 species